rnacentral:rRNA from 1 species
AGCAGCCGCGGUAAUUCCAGCUCCAAUAGCGUAUAUUAAAGUUGCUGCAGUUAAAAAGCUCGUAGUUGAAUUUCGGGACCAUCAUGUCGGUCGUGCCUCGGUACGUACUGGCAUUGUUGGUUUCUACCUUCUGACGAACCAUGAUGUCAUUUAUUUGGUGUCGUGGGGAAUCAGGACUGUUACUUUGAAAAAUUAGAGUGUUUAAAGCAGGCUCACGCUUGAAUACAUUAGCAUGGAAUAAUGAAAUAGGACGUUUGAUUCUAUUUUGUUGGUUUCUAGGAUCGACGUAAUGAUUAAUAGGGAUAGUUGGGGGCAUUAGUAUUCAAUUGUCAGAGGUGAAAUUCUUGGAUUUAUUGAAGACUAACUACUGCGAAAGCAUUUGCCAAGGAUGUUUUCAUUAAUCAAGAACGAAAGUUAGGGGAUCGAAGACGAUCAGAUACCGUCGUAGUC